rnacentral:rRNA from 1 species
AUACGGAGGGUGCAAGCGUUACUCGGAAUCACUGGGCGUAAAGCGCGCGCAGGCGGCUAUUUAAGUUGGAUGUGAAAGCCUACGACUCAACCGUAGAACUGCAUCCAAAACUAUUUAGCUAGAGUGUGGGAGAGGAAGAUGGAAUUAGUUGUGUAGGGGUAAAAUCCGUAGAGAUAACUAGGAAUACCAAAAGCGAAGGCAAUCUUCUGGAACACUACUGACGCUGAGGCGCGAAAGCGUGGGGAGCAAACAGGAUUAGAUACCCUAGUAGUCC